AGUGAACGCUGGCGGGAGGACUAAAAAAGGAAAGUUGAACGGAAGGAAAGUAAGAGUUUGAUUUUAAGGGUGGAGAGUGGCGGAUGGGUGAGGAAUACAUAGGAAUUUACUUUUUCGUGGGGGAUAACGUAGGGAAACUUACGCUAAUACCGCAUACGACCUACGGGUGAAAGCAGGGGAUCUUCGGACCUUGCGCGAUUGAAUGAGCCGAUGUCGGAUUAGCUAGUUGGUGGGGUAAAGGCCCACCAAGGCGACGAUCCGUAGCUGGUCUGAGAGGAUGCUCAGCCACACUGGAACUGAGACACGGUCCAGACUCCUACGGGAGGCAGCAGUGGGGAAUAUUGGACAAUGUGCGCAAGCCUGAUCCAGCCAUACCGCGUGGGUGAAGAAGGCCUUCGGGUUAUAACCCCCUUUUAUUACGAAAGAAAAGCAGCAGGUUAAUACCCCGCCGUUCUGACGGUACCCAAAGAAUAAGCACCAACUCACUUCGUC
rnacentral:rRNA from 1 species